AUACGGAGGGUGCAAGCGUUAUUCGGAAUCACUGGGCGUAAAGGGUGCGUAGGCGGUUUGGUAAGUCUGAUGUGAAAUCCUAUGGCUCAACCAUAGAACUGCAUUGGAAACUGCUAAACUAGAAUACUGAUGGGGCAGAUGGAAUUAGUGGUGUAGGGGUAAAAUCCGUAGAUAUCACUAGGAAUACCGAAAGCGAAAGCGAUCUGCUGGGAAGUUAUUGACGCUGAGGCACGAAAGCGUGGGGAGCAAACGGGAUUAGAAACCCGAGUAGUCC
rnacentral:rRNA from 1 species